rnacentral:rRNA from 1 species
GGUUAAGCGACUAAGCGUACACGGUGGAUGCCCUGGCAGUCAGAGGCGAUGAAGGACGUGCUAAUCUGCGAAAAGCGUCGGUAAGGUGAUAUGAACCGUUAUAGCCGGCGAUGUCCGAAUGGGGAAACCCAGUGUGAUUCGUCACACUAUCGUUAACUGAAUACAUAGGUUAACGAGGCGAACCGGGGGAACUGAAACAUCUAAGUACCCCGAGGAAAAGAAAUCAACCGAGAUUCCCCCAGUAGCGGCGAGCGAACGGGGAGCAGCCCAGAGUCUGAAUCAGCUUGUGUGUUAGUGGAACGGUCUGGAAAGUCCGACGGUACAGGGUGAUAGUCCCGUACACCAAAAUGCACAGGCUGUGAACUCGAAGAGUAGGGCGGGACACGUGGUAUCCUGUCUGAAUAUGGGGGGACCAUCCUCCAAGGCUAAAUACUCCUGACUGACCGAUAGUGAACCAGUACCGUGAGGGAAAGGCGAAAAGAACCCCGGCGAGGGGAGUGAAAAAGAACCUGAAACCGUGUACGUACAAGCAGUGGGAGCACCUUUAUGGUGUGACUGCGUACCUUUUGUAUAAUGGGUCAGCGACUUAUAUUCUGUAGCAAGGUUAACCGUAUAGGGGAGCCGCAGGGAAACCGAGUCUUAACUGGGCGUUAAGUUGCAGGGUAUAGACCCGAAACCCGGUGAUCUAGCCAUGGGCAGGUUGAAGGUUGGGUAACACUAACUGGAGGACCGAACCGACUAAUGUUGAAAAAUUAGCGGAUGACUUGUGGCUGGGGGUGAAAGGCCAAUCAAACCGGGAGAUAGCUGGUUCUCCCCGAAAGCUAUUUAGGUAGCGCCUCGUGAACUCAUCUUCGGGGGUAGAGCACUGUUUCGGCUAGGGGGUCAUCCCGACUUACCAACCCGAUGCAAACUACGAAUACCGAAGAAUGUUAUCACGGGAGACACACGGCGGGUGCUAACGUCCGUCGUGAAGAGGGAAACAACCCAGACCGCCAGCUAAGGUCCCAAAGUCAUGGUUAAGUGGGAAACGAUGUGGGAAGGCACAGACAGCCAGGAUGUUGGCUUAGAAGCAGCCAUCAUUUAAAGAAAGCGUAAUAGCUCACUGGUCGAGUCGGCCUGCGCGGAAGAUGUAACGGGGCUAAACCAUGCACCGAAGCUGCGGCAGCGACACUAUGUGUUGUUGGGUAGGGGAGCGUUCUGUAAGCCUGCGAAGGUGGCCUGUGAGGGUUGCUGGAGGUAUCAGAAGUGCGAAUGCUGACAUAAGUAACGAUAAAGCGGGUGAAAAGCCCGCUCGCCGGAAGACCAAGGGUUCCUGUCCAACGUUAAUCGGGGCAGGGUGAGUCGACCCCUAAGGCGAGGCCGAAAGGCGUAGUCGAUGGGAAACAGGUUAAUAUUCCUGUACUUGGUGUUACUGCGAAGGGGGGACGGAGAAGGCUAUGUUAGCCGGGCGACGGUUGUCCCGGUUUAAGCAUGUAGGCUGGUUAUCCAGGCAAAUCCGGAUAAUCAAGGCUGAGGUGUGAUGACGAGGCACUACGGUGCUGAAGUAACAAAUGCCCUGCUUCCAGGAAAAGCCUCUAAGCAUCAGGUAACAUCAAAUCGUACCCCAAACCGACACAGGUGGUCAGGUAGAGAAUACCAAGGCGCUUGAGAGAACUCGGGUGAAGGAACUAGGCAAAAUGGUGCCGUAACUUCGGGAGAAGGCACGCUGGUGUGUAGGUGAAGUCCCUGCGGAUGGAGCUGAGACCAGUCGAAGAUACCAGCUGGCUGCAACUGUUUAUUAAAAACACAGCACUGUGCAAACACGAAAGUGGACGUAUACGGUGUGACGCCUGCCCGGUGCCGGAAGGUUAAUUGAUGGGGUUAUCCGUAAGGAGAAGCUCUUGAUCGAAGCCCCGGUAAACGGCGGCCGUAACUAUAACGGUCCUAAGGUAGCGAAAUUCCUUGUCGGGUAAGUUCCGACCUGCACGAAUGGCGUAAUGAUGGCCAGGCUGUCUCCACCCGAGACUCAGUGAAAUUGAACUCGCUGUGAAGAUGCAGUGUACCCGCGGCAAGACGGAAAGACCCCGUGAACCUUUACUAUAGCUUGACACUGAACAUUGAGCCUUGAUGUGUAGGAUAGGUGGGAGGCUUUGAAGCGUGGACGCCAGUCUGCGUGGAGCCAACCUUGAAAUACCACCCUUUAAUGUUUGAUGUUCUAACGUUGGCCCCUUAUCGGGGUUGCGGACAGUGUCUGGUGGGUAGUUUGACUGGGGCGGUCUCCUCCCAAAGCGUAACGGAGGAGCACGAAGGUUAGCUAAUCCUGGUCGGACAUCAGGAGGUUAGUGCAAUGGCAUAAGCUAGCUUGACUGCGAGCGUGACGGCGCGAGCAGGUGCGAAAGCAGGUCAUAGUGAUCCGGUGGUUCUGAAUGGAAGGGCCAUCGCUCAACGGAUAAAAGGUACUCCGGGGAUAACAGGCUGAUACCGCCCAAGAGUUCAUAUCGACGGCGGUGUUUGGCACCUCGAUGUCGGCUCAUCACAUCCUGGGGCUGAAGUAGGUCCCAAGGGUAUGGCUGUUCGCCAUUUAAAGUGGUACGCGAGCUGGGUUUAGAACGUCGUGAGACAGUUCGGUCCCUAUCUGCCGUGGGCGCUGGAGAAUUGAGGGGGGCUGCUCCUAGUACGAGAGGACCGGAGUGGACGCAUCACUGGUGUUCGGGUUGUCAUGCCAAUGGCACUGCCCGGUAGCUAAAUGCGGAAGAGAUAAGUGCUGAAAGCAUCUAAGCACGAAACUUGCCCCGAGAUGAGUUCUCCCUGAGACUUUAAGUCUCCUGAAGGAACGUUGAAGACGACGACGUUGAUAGGCCGGGUGUGUAAGCGCAGCGAUGCGUUGAGCUAACCGGUACUAAUGAACCGUGAGGCUUAACCUU